rnacentral:lncRNA from 1 species
CUCUGGAUAUGCUGCACUUGGAUGGGUAGGGGAAGAUGGAUACAUAGGAUAUGGUGGGUAGUACGGAGGAUAAGGCAUAUAUGGCAUGUACGAAGGAUAUGGCACAAAACUAGAGUACUCCGACAUACCUCCCAUCGGAUACUCUGGAUAGCCAAAACCUGAGGUCUGAGCACCUCCCUGCGUCUCUCCCAUACCUUCCUCAAAACUGC